GCGCGUGUAGCUCAGUUGGAUAGAGCGACCGCCUCCUAAGCGGUAGGCCCCAGGUUCGAAUCCUGGCACGCGCGCCA
rnacentral:tRNA from 2 species